UGCAAGUCGAACGGUGAAGCCCAGCUUGCUGGGUGGAUCAGUGGCGAACGGGUGAGUAACACGUGAGCAACCUGCCCCUGACUCUGGGAUAAGCGCUGGAAACGGCGUCUAAUACUGGAUACGAACCACGAAGGCAUCUUCAGUGGUCUGAAAGAUUUAUUGGUUGGGGAUGGGCUCGCGGCCUAUCAGCUUGUUGGUGAGGUAAUGGCUCACCAAGGCGUCGACGGGUAGCCGGCCUGAGAGGGUGACCGGCCACACUGGGACUGAGACACGGCCCAGACUCCUACGGGAGGCAGCA
rnacentral:rRNA from 1 species